UACAGAGGUGGCAAGCGUUGUUCGGAAUUACUGGGCGUAAAGGGCGCGUAGGCGGUCCACUAAGUCGGCUGUGAAAGUCCAGGGCUCAACCCUGGGAUGCCGGUCGAUACUGGUGGACUAGAGUCCGGAAGAGGCGAGUGGAAUUCCCGGUGUAGCGGUGAAAUGCGCAGAUAUCGGGAGGAACACCAAUGGCGAAGGCAGCUCGCUGGGACGUUACUGACGCUGAGACGCGAAAGCGUGGGGAGCAAACAGG
rnacentral:rRNA from 1 species